CUGGUUUUCAGAGAGGACACAAAACUUGCUGAAAAUCAGGGCUCUGACAUUUGCAUGGCCAAAACCAGAGGCAUGUAAACUCAACAGUUGCAUCUGAAAAGUAUUGUCGUUAAUUAAAUGUUUGAUUAGCCUAGUUAGUGUUGGGGCAUGAGAAAGGUUGGGCUCCAUUUGUUCCAAAAAAUUUCUAUCUUUGAAAUUAUAGAGGCUCUUGGGCGGAUGGUGACUGCGGACGAAAGCAGCUUUCUCAUACCAUUCACAUCCGUGUUACUCCCUUCUUUAUUGGACAACGCUAUCCACAGAGCACCUCCUCUGUACGCCACUUUGAAGCAGAGCUGCAUGAAGACCUCUGUACCGGCUGAAAAUAUCUCGCAAACUGAUAAAGAAGUGCAGGUUAGAGUGAGGAUUUGUCACCAAUCAAAGAUGGAGGCAGAGCGUGGGGAGAAGAGGCUCAUUCCCAGGCGCUACCUGGUACAGCCCAGCCCGGAG
rnacentral:lncRNA from 1 species